CCCGAAGCCGAGGGGGGUGGGCGCGCCCGGAGGCUCUCGUCCCCCGCCCCCCCACCAGGCUGUGGAGAAAGGAGGUGGUGAUACUGCCGACUUCCUGGGAGCCAUGCCUUCAACACACAUUUAUGGAGCGCCUACUGUGUUCCAGGCCCCGCUCCAGGACGUGGCGGGGGGAAGGGGUACAAAGUCCCGACCCUGGUGGAGAUGACAUGAGACGGCAAACACAUGAACCAAAUCCCUGGCAGGGGACUUGGGUUCGAGCCCUGGUCCGGGAAGAUCCCACAUGCCGCGGAGCAACUAAGCCUGUGAGCCACAACUACCGAGCCUGCGCUCUAGAGCCCACGAGCCACAACUACUGAAGCCUGCAUGCCUAGAGCCUGUGCUCCGCAACAAGAGAAGCCACCCGAUGAGAAGAGUAGCCCCCACUCGCCGCAACUAGAGAAAGCCCGCAGCAAUGA